UAAUAAUAAUAAUGAUGAUGAUGAUGAUGAUGAUGAUGAUCAUCAUCAUCAUCAUCAUCAUCAUCAUAAUAA
rnacentral:pre_miRNA from 1 species